UCUGGAAAAUAAAAUACCAAAAUUCCUUCGAAUAGAACGACAUCCGCUGGAUAAAUCGUCGUGAUCUGAUUUUUUAAUCUGUAACAAGAUAAGAUAAAUCACAGAUUGUUUGAAUAAAUUAUUCGGCUUCAAAACAGUUUUAUAUUGACUUUGAAAAUUUGAUUCAUAUUCCGAACAAGUGAACUGCAGAAAUCAUGAGAAUUACAAUUUAUAUUUACAUAAUGGGCUUGUUAUUAAUUAAAUGACAAAUCAAAGCACGAUGAGUACAUAAAUACUGUUAUAUUUCCGCGAAGACUUGAUGUAAUAACUGCGUGAUAUGUUGCUUAUUAUGCUUUUGCGUCAAUAAAAUAUUCAACAAUCAUACGAUUUGUAAGAUUGCUGACACAAACCAAGUGAGAAUGCUGAAGAAAAAUAUUUUACCAAACUGUUUGUUAUUUUUCAUAAAACUCAAGACAAAGAAUGACCGUGACAAUCAGUACACGUUUUUUAUAUUAUCAAGCAUCCAUCCCAGCUCAGCGUGAAACUCCGCAUUGUUUGUAAACUCAUUCAAAAUCUGCUGAGUUUCACUUUACACAUGAUAAGGUGUCGAAUAUAAAAACGAUUGCAGAAUUCAACUUGGCAUCAGACAAACAGCAAGUGCAACAGACAAAAACUCCAACGUUUUUUAAAAAAAGGUACAAUUGUAAUUUACCGAAGAUUUGUCCGUUACUGAAAGAUUUUGAGUGAAGUUAUUUUGAACCAGACAAUGAAUAAAAUGCAUGGAAAACUUGUCCGAGCCUUGGCCAUUUUUGCGAUUGUUUCUGCCAUUGCAAUCAGCGAUACAGACGCAUGUAACAAGUGUGGUUACGACAAGUGUUCUGGUGGCUGUUCUGUACUUCAACUCCCAGCCCCAGUUCAUCAACCGACAUUCUCGCUGUGCAGCAGUUGCAACGAACCUUGCGAUGCUCCGACCUGGUACCCAAAACCAUAUUGCGGAGGCUGUUCGAGGCGCAAGUCUAUCCGUCUAAACAAUAACUGUGGCUAUUACAAUAAUUGUGGGUGUUAAUUCAAAAAUCUGUAAAUUCGAUGGUUAAUUAAUAUUUUUUUAUAAUUAAUUAAUAUGACUAUGAAUAAUAAUUAAUUAAUAUGACUUAGUAAUAAACAACGCAUAAUGUAGAACAACAGUAUAUACAACAAUAAAUGUCUUGUCUUUACAAGUUUCAAAGUAAACAUUGCUAAAAGUUUAAUUUUGCUUUCGUAUUAUUCGUUCCGCAUUUCUAACUUAGUUUCUUAGAUGUCAAAAAAAUAUUUCUUCUUAUGGCUGUUGGUCACAAUAGAACCAGUAUAAGUAAUAAUGGUUGAUGUAGGACGCAAAUUGCAUUGUUCAUCUGAACUUUCGAAAUCAGGCGUACGUAUUUUAUAGUGAUAUAAUUUUGGCAUAAACUGAUAAUAUGUAAACUAUUCAAUUUUAAAAGUUUUAAUUUGUCUGUUUAAAACAUAAUAUACAAGAUUUUUGUAAAAAAAAAAAAAUAGUACUUCUACCUUUAUCGACCAAACAAACUCACCCUUUUUCAUCCUAUAUUAAAUAAAAAAACGAACAGAAAGGGUUAAAAUUUCAACAAUGCAUUGCUCUUUUGACACUGGGCGCACAGCACAGUCGAGCGUUCCCUGGUUGGCUGUGCGACCAGCUGAGCGUAAGAGUAGCUUUUAUUUACGAAAUUAUUGUAAUUCCCAGUUCUCGUCUAGCGACCUCAAUAUUGCAUGAAAACAGUCUCACAAUGCCUCAUUUUACUCCUCAUUCUUUCAGGAAUUGCGUAAAGUAUCUCGGUUAUGCACUUUUUGGCCAGUGAGAUGCGGGAAAUGUAGGAAUAGUAACACAUGUCAAAAAACCACACGUUUUUUUAAACGAUUUUUGGGAUAUGAGUAAGUUUCUUGAAUACUGCUAGAAAAGAGUGACGCAUUGUCGAAAUUUGAACCCUUUCCGUUCGUCUGUUUAGUUAAUAUAGGAAGCGAAAGGGUGAGUUUGUUCGGUUGGUAAAGGUAGGAAUAAUACAUGACCUUAUAAAUAUUAUUCUCAGGCAUCGAAAUUACAUUGGUGCAGAAAAUCCAUGCCAAAUUCCAAACGGUUCUAAUAAGUGAUAUGUUUCACACCUUAUGACAACUAUUUUCACACCUAGUUAUAACUGCAAAAAACAAAAUCACACGAAUCUCAAAGUCAUCUCAAUUUCAAUCUAAUAUACGAGAUAUUUGCAGUCAAAGAAUAAGUUAACAAAUCAAUCAAUUUCGAUUAACCAGCCCUCAAAAAAAUCAUUUCCGAGUGUAUCCUUUAUUUAGUGAUUAAAGUUCCUUUAUUUAGUCAUUGAAGAAGAAAAACUGUGCACCUUAACUCGAUUACCACAACACUUUCAGUCGAUAGUUUUUCAAAAAAAAUUUCCGUGAAAAUUCACUGUCCGUUAAGAAUUAAUGGACCUCGCCAUCUCUAUUGAAAAUUA